AUUGAACGCUGGGGGGAGGCCUAACACAUGCAAGUCGAACGAGUGGCGGACGGGUGAGUAAUGGCUGGGAAACUGCACGAUGGAGGGGGAUAACUAAUGGAAACGGUAGCUACUACCGCACACCAUCGGAUGUGGCCAGAUGGGAUUAGCUAGUAGGAGGGGUAAAGGCUCACCUAGGCGACGAUCCCUAGCUGGUCUGAGAGGAUGACCAGCCACCACGGACCUGAGACCCGGUCCAGAUUCCUACGGGAGGGUGUCGUCGGGACUAUUGCACAAUGGCAGCAAGCCUGAUGCAGCCAUGCCGCGUGUAUGAAGAAGCCCUUCGGGUUGUAAAGUACUUUCAGCGCGGAGGCGUUACUCGCAGCAGAAGCACCGGCUAACUCCGUGCCAGCCGCCGCGGUAAUUC
rnacentral:rRNA from 1 species